rfam:Lactobacillus plantarum WCFS1 complete genome
AAUUGUGUUACCGUAAAUUCUUUAUAGGUGUUAAUAACAUGUGUUAGUUACUUUUUAUUUUUAUAUCCUAGGAGGAUUUAGUUCAUGAAAAAUGGUACUGUAAAAUGGUUCAAUGCUGAUAAGGGUUAUGGCUUUAUUACUGGUGAAGAUGGCAACGAUGUAUUCGUUCACUUCUCAGCUAUCCAAACUGACGGUUUCAAGACCUUAGAAGAAGGCCAAAAAGUUACUUUUGAUGAAGAAUCAAGCGAUCGUGGCCCACAAGCUGCUAACGUUGUUCCUCAAUAAGCUUAGCUUUUAAAAGGGCUGCCCGUGUGGCGGCUCUUUUUUU